CUUGGCGGUGGCAACACGCUUCCUCUUCCCAGUGUGGGAGAUGUAGGAGCCUUUCUGCGAGCGAUUCGGCACAGGCUGACCCGGGUGACUUCAGCCACCCGCCCGUGGGAUCCAUCCCGGCGUGGCACAGGAGAGCACAGCAAAACGCCUUUAUGUGGCUUUGCUGGCACAUAAACCUGCACAUGGGAUCAUUUACUGCUUGGCGGAGAUGAACUGGCUGGCGGGGCUCCCCCAACUCCAUGCUCUAAUCUUACCUACUCAAACCUAACUUUGCCAAGCAAGGGUUAUUUCAGUAAGUGAUCAUGCCAAGCAUGUUUCUGUAAGGUGGAUGUGGUGUUGCCUUGUACAGUACAAAUCAGAUGGUUAAUUAGGAGAAUAUUAAUAUUAUCAUUAUUAGAAUUCUAUUUACACUAUUCUUCUAAUCUAAUAUCUUGUUUACAGUGGGAUUUUGAACAGUUCCAGCCCUCAACAAAAGCGAUUAGUAGAGGCACACCAAGGCAAACCACGGGUUUAAACCAUAUUCAGUGUCAACAUCUUUCAUGGCAGGACUGAUGCAGACAGGAUCUGCUGGCAGCUGUGCCAUGGUUUCUAAGUCAUCUCCUAAGCUAAAUGUGUCACCUCUGCCAGGUAACCACCUCCAGCACAAGGAAGUGUGAGUGUCACAGCUUGGCUGCAUGUCAGGCUCACUCUGACUGUUCAUGGCUCUCAGUCCCCUUUCCCAACUGUUCCCUGGUGCCAGCAGUGAGCAAAGGAUUAGGUGGUAACAGUUUCGUAAACUGCAGUGGCAAGACUUGCCCCUCAGUUUCUGUAGUUCUAGUAAAGAAUAAACUCUUCUGAUACAAAUUUCAGAUUUUGUUCUCCAACAAGGGCUUGAUUGCUGCUAGGACAGGUGAGGCUGGGCCAGAAGACUUCUGCAGACAGCUGCUCAGUUUUCCUGAAAAAGGAGGGCAGAGCUUGAUGCUGGGAAGGAGAACUCCUGAAAUGCAGAGCCGAGCUAGUUCCCUGAGAAAUACUCCCAUUAAUCUCAGUGAGGUAUCACUGUUAAUAUGUUGGUAUAAUCUGUCAUCCGGUUUAGCAGUGUCCCUGGUAAUUAAGUUUCAUAUUGCCUAUGUUAUCUGUUAACCCAAAAGGAGCAAAGUUUGAGGGCGCUGCUGAAGAGCCCAGACCUGCACACAGCUGCAUUUCAACAGCAGAAGUGCCAGCAGUAUCCCAAUAUCCUGACUUUAUAUUGAGGGUGUAGAAACGUUCUGGAACCUGUGAUGUGUACACCAUGACUGGAAGGCUGGCUGCUUUGUGGUUCUGGCAAAAAACUGGGCUGACCCCUGUAAAAUGAGUGCACUGACCCCUUCAAAGGUGCACACAGAGGUGUUGCAUCUUGUCUCCAUCUCCUCUCAUUCCCUCUGCUCCUCUUUGACUCUUUCUUCUGCCUUCUCCCAAGCCACUGUCAUUUUCAUUUCCUUUCCUGCUGCCUUGUACAUUUGAUCUAGAUUCUACCCACAAAUAUAUCAGAGUUUUUCUCCUCACAGUUUUCAAAGCCUGUUUUUCCACCUUUGUUCUGUGGAUACAGAUCUCAAACCAGUGUAACUUCCUGUUGCUGGAGCAUCAAAGAUAUACAAAUUCAAGAUACAGUAAAAAAAUAAAACAAACAACUGUUCAGACUUGUUUACUUUGAAUGAAAAUAAGAACAUUCAUAUCAUGAAGCUUGACUGAGUGGAACCAGGUUAAGAAUGCCCCAACCAUCAUGACAGUGCUGAUGAAACUGGAAGAUUUUUUUACUGGAAGUCAGUGUCUAUUAAGGAGAGCGCUAAAUUACUCAGCACAGGUAUUGGUAGAGCAGUCCUCACCAAUAACAUAUUUUUAGUACCAGUGACUCUUGUUGAACUCAUCUCUGUAAUUGUUUUUGAUGAUAGAAUGACUCAGAGUGCCCUAAAAACAUGGUAAUAAAAGAAACCCCUUAUUAUGGACCAAGGAACCAUUAAGUCUAAAUCCUAAAAAUUGGCAUUCAGCAUACAAGAUUAAGGAAGCAAAAACCUUGCUAGUUUGGUUACUCUUAUUUAUAAAGUAAGAAAAAACAGAACCUUCAAAUACCUUAAGUAGUUUUGAUUAAAAACAUUCUUAAGACUAGAAAUAUGUCAUUGUGCACUCAGCCAGAAAUGCAUUUUAAUAAAUGAGUCAGGGUUAGAAGAAGAAUGAGAGAACUUUUCUUACUGAAUGCAUCCCUGUGGUGGGGCCCAGUCAUGUAGUGUGCUUGGAAGGAGCAACAUACUAAACAUGGACAGCGAGGGGCUGAUUAAUAAGACAUUUAACCUAUUAUUUUUUCAUGGGACAAAGAGACUUCAGUUCUGUAAGGUAUUUGUAAAAUGGGUUUCCAAAAUGAACCAGGCAAUCCCAGUCUGAUACCCAGUAGACACCCAUAGGUGUUUGCAUAGCAAAUCUGUUACUAAUUACAAUUCUUGACACUCAGGAGUACAUGAGCUGUGUGGUUUGCACUUAUUAUUUUUAGGUCAAUUUGUACCCAUAUACAAUCUCCUGCCUGCCCUUCACAAGCACUUUCUACUUGUCUAGAGGUGGAGGAGUUUAAACUGGACUACUGAUGAACUGUCACAUAAAGACAUACUGAAUUCUGAGACAUUGAAUAUCUGUACAGGAUUAUGCAAAGAGGGACACACAAUUAGGGUCUGUAGUUUUCUCUGCAUUGCAAAAUUGUCCUGGGUUGUACAAAUCCAUCAAAUGAAUAGGCAGGCUCUGAAAGCUUCCUUUUCCCCACCCAAGAUGAAAAAUGUAAUUGCCACUGGGAUGCCAGAGGUGAGUGAGAUUCUGUCAGGAGGUUAUAUUGAUAAAAGUAAACAUCCUGCACAAAAGCUGAGUUUCUUUUGGCCGCUUGGCACAGAUGAGUUCUUAUUACAAGCCUGCACAAUAACCCUGAUCUGUUAAACAGAUAACAGAGAAGCAGUUCCUCAGUUGCCAAAAUUAUUUAUUUUGUGACAAGACACAGCUAAUGCUCCCAGCUACUCACUUUUUGGAGCUGGCAGUGGUGAUGGGCUGGCUGCAGAGGCAGGCGAGCAGGACACCAUGGCUCAGGGAGCCAAUUAAAUGCAGUGGGGAGGGAGCAGAGCAGCACAGCUUGGUGAGGCACAGGAAAUGGGUUUGGCAGGUGAAACUCCACUCCCAGUAUACACUGGAGAGUAAAUCAAGCAUUUGGGGUAAAUAAGGGGGAGAAAAGUACCCUUCUGCUUUCUUUUGAUUUUAUAACAAACAGAAUAUGAGGAUUUAGCCUUCCUGUCUUAGGGGUGUGCAUGGUAAUGGAGGAAGGUGGUGGUUUCAUUAAGGUUUGAUUUAGAAGCUUUACCACUAAAGCUCUUUCCUUUUCUUGGAUUUAGAGAACACAGGGUUUGGGCUUUGUUAGCAUGUUCAAGGACAUGUGGCAGCAGAACUACCCUGAGAAAAGUUUAUGCUUUGUGUCCUGCAGACAGCAUGGAUACAGCUUUUUUUUCCUUGCUGCAAACUGACCCAGAUUUCUGCUUUAUUUACAGUCUUUUUGAGCAUAGUGUGAAGGAAAGGCAUUGCUUUUGGAAAUGCAUGUCAAUGGUCUUGUGAAAUGAGCAUCUCUCCCUCCCUCAGCCUUCCCCCAAUCUAAUUAAUAAGGUCAUCCCACUGAAGGCAGGCUUAUAAAUAGCUUUCCAAGCACUAAUGGAAUUAGUUCUGGCCUGGACAACUUUUCCAGGGUGACACAGGUAUCGAAGAAGGGCUUGCUCCUUGGCAUAGACAGCCACUUACAGCAGGAAAUGUUGAAAUGUAAACAUCUACCUGAUGGCCCAGCUCUUGCUGCCAGCACUAAACCUGAAAUGGGAUUACAGCAUUGCUACUCACAUCGUGGAAAGACUUGCAAGUGAAACAAGGCAUUUUAGAGGGAUGGGCCUUGUAUUAGAUUACAUUAGUCUGGAUAAUGAAAUGUCAAAUUCUGAUGAAGGUUUCUCUUCUGUCACUAUUUCUGAGGAAAGUGUAUUUUUCAUGUCCCACAAACCCACAAGAUUUUGUGAGGAUAAUAAACAGUUACCAUAGGGAAUAAAAUCGAAGUACUUCCAGUUGAUAAGAAUCUUUACUGUGACAGCAUUUAAUGGGAAAGGACUAGCACAGCUAUAAACUCUCAAAAGAGUGAUGAUUGAAAAUUGACUAUUUAAAUCAUCAGUGAAUGGAGCCGUUGAACCCCUUCAAAACCAAUGGCUGAAUUACUAACAUUUAAAAUCUGGCAUGAGACUGGAAUUUUAUAAUGAAAAUAAAACCUAAAUGCAUCAUAGAAAGUGUAAGCUCUGAUUGUUUAAAAAACUUGAACCAAAAUGUAAAGAGAAUGUAUCUGAUUCAAUAACUUCAAAUCAAUAAGCAUGAAGCUCCUGAAAACAGGAGACAAACAUGAAAUUAUAAUAUGAUUAUCUAUGUGACUAAUGAAGUUUAAUUACAGUAAAAUAAUGGAGAAACAUUAUUUCAGAGUCUGUUCUAUUUGUUCUAUCUUCACAGUCUGUUCUUCUAUUCAGCCUGUGUAUUGCAAUAGUCCUACCAUGUAUUGCAUCUCCAGUAAACAAAAGGAGAUUUCAAAGAUUUCAAAAUGCUUAUUGGGAAAACUGAUGAAGGUCAAAUUUUAUAUAAAAUCAUCUUCUCAAUCAAAUUCUAUGCUGUUGCAUGUUCUGAAUAUAACCUUCUCCUUAAAUGAAGAAGCUGACAUGAGGGCAGGAGGUGCUUCUUCACAUAAGUGAGAAAAGAUCACUUCUUUAGAGAAGGGGAGAAAAGCAGUACUUUUCAGUCUCUGAAAUGGCCUUGGACCAGCUGCACAAAUUCUGAGUCAUCAGAUGAAUCAAGUCUGUUAAUGACUGCAGAGAACUUUUACUUCAAAAAAUGCAGAAGCAUCCUGCUUUCAGAUAUUGAUUCUGUAGUGCUUCCUUUGGGAGGCUUUAGUCAUAAAGGUGCCAGAUUUCAAGUCUUUUUUAGAAAUAAAAAAUGUGAGAAAGGUUUGGCUUUUAGUAAUUGUACCAUAAAAAAGAUGGUGGCCCACAGCCCUUGGAACAUCUAUCAGUUUCUCUAGCAGAAAUCAGUAUGGAAUUUUGGCUGACAGCCAAAGAGCAAGUUAUUAAAGGUAAAAUUCACUCAUAAGGAGAAUUUUAUAUGAAAGGCCAAAUCAGGACAACCUGACUCAGGAGCUAAGCAGCUGCCAUUGCCUUCAGCUUCAGACUGGAGAACACCUGAAAAAUCACAGCUGAGUUUCUUAAACCAAAGGGACAAGAGUCAUGAGGAUCUGUGUUCUAGUCUGCCUUUAGAAAGUCUGCAAGAGAGAAUAAAUAAUUACUGUACUGUAUGGUAACAGUAUAUCCUCUCAGUGUCAUUAGAUCCUAAGAGAUGAGGUCUCUCUCCCCAUCCUCCAGUUGUCUCAUAAUUGUGGCCUGCAAAGAAAAGCCCCAGCUGUACCCAUCCUUGGGGAAAAAAGACCAUUUUUGCCCUCUCUCAAAUGUAGGAUUUUAGCACCCAGAAAUGGAGGCUUUCGAAGACCUUUUUAGCAUGUGUUACCCAUGCAGAACAAAAUUAUUUCUCUUUGGACCCAAUAUUUUAAUAUAUCUCCAAAUUCUUCCAUUUUCAGAAGUAAAUGAAAAAUGUUCACCCUUGUACCAAAGCCAAAAUAAAGCAGCUCUGGAUUUAAAUCCUGGUCCACAGUGGACCAUCUUUAACUGAUGUUUGUAACAUGGACAUGCAAAAUCCUUUCCCCUCCUUUCUUCUCCCUAUCACUGGGAUUUUGUUCUGUGAAUGUCUGCCAUCCACUGUUAAUGUGCCAAUCACUCUUAAUUCCUUAUCUUUGACAUCACAAUCAAUGAAGGGAAAUAAGCUGUUACUUAAUGGGGCUGACACAAAAUCCAUUUAAGCUAACGGAAAGACGCUCCUUGUUUCCUAUCAGCCCUAGGUCAGGCCAGAGUGAACAGAGUGGGUGGAAUUUAGCCUGUCAUUUGUCAUCUGAGAGGAAAUGAUUCCUACAUCCCGUUUGGACUGCUUAGAGAUUUUAAACAUAUUUAGCAAAAGAAAACAGAUUGAUUUCUUGUCAGUUGUUGAAUGGUUGAAAUUUUACUCUGGUUGGAUAGUCUCUCAGUUUCAAAUGCUACUUAGUUUUAAUAUUAAAAAAAAAAAACAAAACCAAAUUUAGGAGAGAAAGAUCAAGGUGAGUGUAAGUCAGUGAAACUGAAGAGGCACUGACUAUCCUGUGCAGGUCAUGAAGCAUCAUCUGCACAGGAGCUCAGCCUCGCAGGCAGGGGCUGCACAGGGCCUGUGAACUCAGCCUGCCCUUCCUGCCAGCUGACAGCCUCUCAGUGUUACUUAUUUUAAAUGUAUUUAUCCUAAGUACACUUGGAGAGGGAGAAAACAUCUGUACUCCAACACAUAGAGUUGUCUCAGGUCUUCUAGGUUUUGUAAACAGACUUAAUAAAAUAUGAAUCCAUUUUUCUCUAUUGCUUGCAAAUAUUUACAAAUAUUUUUCAGAAGCAAAAUGAACAUGUUCUUUAAUAUAGCCCAACAAACAUCAGACACACUGUCCCUACUAUAUCUCCCAGUUUGAAUAAUGCUUGUUAGCCUUGGGAAGAGGGAGCAGAGUGCCUGGCAGGGACAAGAGGAUCUGAGUGAUUGUCUAACUUGCAAUUCCCCUGAUAAGUUUAGAGACUAUUUCUGCAGUGUUUCUGCAGAAAUAAUAUCUGUUAUUUAAGGACAAAAGUCAAAAUGUUCUGUUUCUUGGUUAUGGUGUGUUACAAAGAGUAAAGGGAGUUCUGUUUCACCACGUCCCUUCUGAACAGCAGGAAAUUCUUGGGAUAUAUCAUUUAGUUGCUGGUGGUCAGGCCAAGUUGCUGAGAGGUCAGAGGACUUGCAAGAAACAGAGACAUCAAGAAGUUUGAUUUCAGUGCAAAUUUGUCUACUCUGCUCCAAACAGUGAUUGCAAAACAAGUGUUACUGCUGCUGGCAAGCUUUGUGAGGCCUCACAUCCAUCAUCCACUUAGUUCUGUCUGUCCUUGAGUCAGAGUUAUAAAUUGUGUUAUCUUCGAUGGCAGGGAUGAGUUUUCAGACAGACUCUGACCUGACUUCUCUUCCUGCUGUGGUGGAUGAAAGUCUACAGCAUUCCAGUGAUAUUGGGAAUGCUCUGAGGAUUGGACUCACACAAAUGAAACUCUGACCCCUCACAUGAUUGCUGGAAGGACUAAAGGCGAAAAAUCCCCUUAUACUUGGGAAAUUUUUAGGAGCCAUUUGGAAAGCGAUUGGGUAAAAACAAUCCAGAGGGGGCACAGGAGUCCCUCAACUUGUUUUUAAAAUCUGUCAGACAGCAAAUUCCUGUCCUCCAGAUUCCUGGGUCUUGAGGCUCAGUAGCAAUAUUUAUAAGGAGAGGCUGGUUGAAGAAAAUCAAUAAAUAAACAGACAAUGCCCCGAUGAAGAGCUGAAAUAGAGAUUUUUGUGGGCACAGCUCAUGUCUUUCCAGAAACUGUUCCUUCCCCGGGGCUGUCACUUCUGAGCUGUUCCUGGCUGUCCACAGAGGGGAGUGGGGAUCCUCACUAGGGCCUAACCUUGUUCUGCUGCACUGAGCAUUACAACCUCUUAUCUGUUGCUUGUGGGUGCUAAAUUGCAAGGCCACAUUUUUGGGAACAGAAUGCAGAGCCUUGGAGGAAGGCCAUGCUUUCAAACUCUGUGUCCUCAGCAGCUUCCCCGGCACUGGGGCCGCGGUGCUGGCCGGGGAUCAAAGCCCAGGAAUUCUGUGCUGUGCUCAGGCUGUUCCUCCUGGCUGAGGUCACAGCACUCUCCUCCUUUCUGUAUGGUUUCUGCAGGAUCAGUUUUAUAAAUGACAGGGUAAGAUACAGCCCUGGUGUGAGAGUGGGGCUGGGGAGGGCACAGGGCUGCUUGUGUCCCUGACAAGCCACCGUGGUGGCAUCUGCCCUCGGCUGACCCCGCUGGCAGCUGUGCCCUGUCCUGCUCCUACCAACUGCCCAAGGCUCAUUCAAACAGCCUCACAUCUCAUAGAAAUAGGAAUGGUGGCUUCUGAACUGCCUCCAAUUCCUUGGAACUUUACAGGACUCUUGUAAUAGCAUUUUACUUAAAUUCUAGAAAAAAACCCCAAAGCUAUUAGCAACCUGGCCCUCAGAAAAACCUCUGUGGAGGUUUAGUCAAAAUGACAAAAUCUCUAUCCAAAAUUUAUAAAGGCAUUUUCAGUUUUUCAGUGGAAGUCCAGAUUCCCAUAUUUUGGCAGUAGACCUGUACUGGGUACAUUUGCUCUAACAUUAACCAUUUAAAAGCUCCUCUGUGCCCUUAGAGACAAAAAGGAGAAUGCUUCCUUUGAGGAAAGAUGCCCCUUAGCAGAGGAGAGGAGAUACUCUGGAGGAAUUAAUCUCUUCCCAUUGUUCUUGAGUUUUGAGGGGGGGCAAAGGCUCAAUUUUUGGAUGGUGACAUUAAUCCCACACAAACUGAGCCAUAGGCUGUGCCCCCGCUUGCAACUCCUGCAACAUGGAAGGUUAAAAUAAAUGCUUGUUAAACUCCAGGCUGUAUAGUGCAUGACACAUUAGAGCUGCUUUUAGUCAUCAAUAUAUUGCUAUUUAAAGAUGACUGAGACUUUUAAGUCUGAUGAUUAUUCACAUUGAAAGUGUUUCUUUUUCAUUUGAGAUUUUAUGCUGUCAUGCAGACAUCUCCAUAAUUAAAUGUGUGCUUGACUCUUUCUGUCUUCAGUUAAGUAGACAUUAAUGGGAACCUACCAAAAACAACUGCCAGAAAUCUUCCUGCACUUUAAUUUAAAAAUAUUAAUAUCAAAUUA